rnacentral:rRNA from 1 species
AACGAACGCUGGCGGCGUGCCUAACACAUGCAAGUCGAACGUGAUUAGAGAGCUUGCUCUCUAUGAAAGUGGCGCACGGGUGAGUAACGCGUAGAUAAUCUACCCCUAUAUACGGAAUAACUGACCGAAAGGUUAGCUAAUACCGUAUGUGUUCUGGAUAUAGCGAUAUAUUUAGAGUAAAGGAGACCUCUCUUGGAAGUUUCUGUAUAGGGAUGAGUUUGCGUACCAUUAGCUAGUAGGUAGGGUAAUGGCCUACCUAGGCGACGAUGGUUAGCGGGUCUGAGAGGAUGAUCCGCCACACUGGAACUGGAACACGGACCAGACUCCUACGGGAGGCAGCAGUGAGGAAUAUUGCGCAAUGGGGGCAACCCUGACGCAGCGACGCCGCGUGGGUGAUGAAGGCCUUCGGGUUGUAAAGCCCUGUCGGGUGGGAAGAAGUGCUACAUUACUAAUAAUGAUGUAGUUUGACGGUACCACCAAAGGAAGCACCGGCUAAAUCCGUGCCAGCAGCCGCGGUAA